CGGGUGCGGGGCUGGGGGAGACACGAUGAGGCGCAUCCAGCACUGGAGCCCCCAUACGGGCCAUAGGCUGGGAGUGUGGCUGGGGGCCUCCCUCAGGUCCUGGGCUGCUGAGAUGGGCACACGGCACUCAGCAGCCUGUGACCUGAACCGGGGCAUUGUGUCUCCAGGCAAAUACCAGGCUCAGGGGAUAGGGCUGGGGCUUGCCUGCACGUCCCACCCCACCCUGGGCUGAUUCUGGUCUGUGGACUCUCAUGUGUCCAGGGGAACAAAAGUCCAACUGAGCCUGCUGUGUGAUUAGUGCCAGGAGACAGGGGCAUGGAUUAGUGCGAAACAUUCUCCUCAGCCCACCCCAGCAGCGUGGGAGAGCGCAAUGGGAAGCGGGAUCGCACAUUAACAGCAGCGACGCCCCCAGCCCAGCUCACUGCGUCUCUUCUCCCCGAAAGGGCGGUGACGCUGUCCGGGAUCCAUGGGGCUGGGCUAUGGCCCGUAACCAACCAGCCCCUUGGGGAUGACCCCUGGAGUGUGCCAGACCAUGCCAUGGGACAGGCCUGCUCCCUCCAGGACUCCCAGACUGGGCCUUCGGGUGUUCUCCCUCCGUGUGCAGCCCAACGAGAUAUCUGCAGAUAUCCUGAGCCCCUCCAUGGCGUAAGCCUGACUCACAGGAAGGCCUGCCUGCAAACAGAGCGAUCCACAGUCGAUUGUCCUGGCUGAUGGGAGCCAUCAAGGUUCCAAACCACCACUCCCAGCCCUUCUGCACAAUCCCCAACCUGGCCUGUUGGUCACCAGUAUCACAGCAGAUUCCCGCUUCCCUCACGGGGUAACGAGGGCAACAUUCUGGGCACAUUUCAAAAACCAGCAUCCAGUUCUCAUCCUGAAACCAGAUUUAACCCUUCGUUAUUCUUCACCCGUCCAACCAGCGCCUACCGAGGGGCUCAGGAACGUCUGCUGAAGCCACUGCCCUCACCUGCUGUCGUCCUCGGCUAUAACCCGACAAUUAGUGGGUUAAUUAGCACCAGCGCCAGUUCUCACCCGCGGGGCAGGCCCCUGCCUACAGCUGCUUCUUCGGGGAGCGGGUUGGUUUGUUUCUUUGGAUCCACAAAGGGACUUAGGUGCUGUGAUGUUCUGUAUCACCCCCGUGCCCCAACUUUUGGUCAUUGAGAACAUUAGCAGACCAACGAUGGGAUCCAGGCAGCCUGCACUGGGGGGGCCCGGGUCCCGGCACAACGGAUGGGGUGAGACAGACACUCGCGGAUGGGACCCCAAAAGCCAGCACACCAGGUAGGGAACUGCCUAUGCCAGCCAAUGGACAAUGCUGAGCCAAGGGGAUGUGUGCGAAGCCCUGCCCCACGCAUGGAGUUAGACACCUAAGAAGGCACCCAGCUCUGCUUGUGGCCCAUGAGCGGGAACCCCUCUCUGGAGCCAGGUAGCUGAGAUGGGGGUGUCUUGUGUGAAUGAGUGGGGCGCCUGCCUCGUUCCACACAAAAGGGGCUGAGACAGAGGCCCCCCUUCUUUACCCCAGAGCACUCAGCUGGGCUGUGGGAGACCCCAGUUCAACUCCCCUCCCCCACCUGCAGGGCAGCCCGUAUCCGAGCAGAGGUCUCCCACGCCUCAAGACAAAGCCCUGUCUGCUGGGUGAGGGCAUAUUCAGGGGCCUCCUUCACUCCUGCCCAUUGAAGCUGCUCCAUUUUGGAUUACGAAGGAAUGAGUCUGUGGGCCAUACCAGCCCAUUCCUACACACCACCCCACUGUCAUGGGGAAGGCGCCUGUACAUACAGCUCAGAGCACUUCCGUGGGUCAGACCUGUCUUACAGGGAUCAGGCACAAACCAACACGGGUGGGGAGCGCGGCUCUUCGAAGCUUGGGCUCAUUAAAACAGAUCUUUGAUUGACGAUGGCCAAUGAGAGACUGACAUUGCUUGCUAAUUUAUUGUUUGAACAUGCCAUUGGCCAGUCUUUGGCUCUCUCUGAUGCUGUGAUUCACUUCACAAGGGCAAAGGCGAGAAGAGACCUUGUGAACUGAAGGAUGAGAGUUAACAUUCUAACACUGUCACCGACUGGAACAUUGUGUAAUACAGGUCCACCCAGUGUUGGUGCACAGUUCAAUUCAUAAUGUUAGCACAUUUCAGUUGUUCUUAAAAUUAAAGGUUUCAGAGUAACAGCCGUGUUAGUCUGUAUUCGCAAAAAGAAAAGGAGUACUUGUGGCACCUUAGAGACUAGCCAAUUCAUUUGAGCAUAAGCUUUCGUGAGCUACAGCUCACUUCAUUGAAUGCAUACUGUGGAAAGUGUAGAAGAUCUUUUUAUACACACAAAGCAUGAAAAAAUACCUCCUCCCACCCCACUCUCCUGCUGGUAAUAGCUUGUCUAAAGUGAUCACUCUCCUUACAAUGUGUAUGAUAAUCAAGUUGGGCCAUUUCCAGGACAAAUCCAGGUUUUCUCCCCCCCCCCCCCCCCAACACACACAAACCCACUCUCCUGCUGGUAAUAGCUUAUCUAAAGUGACCACUCUCCUUACAAUGUGUAUGAUAAUCAAGGUGGGCCAUUUCCAGCACAAAUCCAGGGUUUAACAAGAACGUCUGGGGGAGGGGGGGUAGGAAAAAAACAAGGGGAAAUAGGUUACCUUGCAUAAUGACUUAGCCACUCCCAGUCUCUAUUCAAGCCUAAGUUAAUUGUAUCCAAUUUGCAAAUGAAUUCCAAUUCAACAGUUUUUCGCUGGAGUCUGGAUUUGAAGUUUUUUUGUUGUAAUAUCGCAACUUUCAUGUCUGUAAUUGCGUGACCAGAGAGAUUGAAAUGUUCUCCGCCUGGUUUAUGAAUGUUAUAAUUCUUGACAUCUGAUUUGUGUCCAUUUAUUCUUUUACGUAGAGACUGUCCAGUUUGACCAAUGUACAUGGCAGGGGGCAUUGCUGGCACAUGAUGGCAUAUAUCACAUUGGUGAAUGUGCAGGUGAACGAGCCUCUGAUAGUGUGGCUGAUGUGAUUAGGCCCUGUGAUGGUGUCCCCUGAAUAGAUAUGUGGGCACAGUUGGCAACGGGCUUUGUUGCAAGGAUAGGUUCCUGGGUUAGUGGUUCUGUUGUGUGGUAUGUGGUUGCUGGUGAGUAUUUGCUUCAGGUUGGGGGGCUGUCUGUAGGCAAGGACUAGAACACUUCAAUGCUUUUACUUCAAUGCAGCUUUUAAACUGAGGGCUAGGGGAAAGCCAACAGGUGCGAAGGAGCACGUGGUUCAGACAGAGACCUCCCUUCGGGGAGGAUCUAUUAAUGGAGAUUCUCUGUCCUCAUAAGGAGGAGAGGAGGGAAGAUGACAAAGUACAGGUAGCAGUGGUGGAUUUAGAGUUGGUGGGGCCCUGUGCUCAGCUUCAUUUUUGGGGCCCCCCCUUGGGACCCAGCCAAGAAAAAGCACAUUCUUUCUGAUCUUCCCCCAUCCCUGUUCUUCCUUCUUUUUUUCUUCAUCCUCCUCCUAUAUUGUAAGUAAUAGGAAGUAAAUGAAAAUACCGUGAGGUACCUUGAUUGUUUUUGUAGUCUAACUUUUUUUUU